rnacentral:rRNA from 1 species
GUUUGAUCAUGGCUCAGAACGAACGUUGGUGGCGUGGAUUAGGCAUGCAAGUCGAACGUGAAAGUCCCCUUCGGGGGAUGAGUAAAGUGGCGAACGGGUGAGUAACGCGUGGGAAACCUGCCUCAGAGCGUGGAAUAACACUCCUAACGGGGUGCUAAUACCGCAUGAUAUCGCUGGAUGGCAUCUUUCGGCGAUCAAAGAUGGGGACCGCAAGGCCUGUCACUCUGAGAUGGUCCCGCGUCCGAUUAGCUAGUUGGCAGGGUAAUGGCCUACCAAGGCGACGAUCGGUAGCCGGUCUGAGAGGAUGGUCAGCCACACUGGGACCGAGAUACGGCCCAGACUCCUACGGGAGGCAGCAGUCGAGAGGCUUCGGCAAUGGGGGAAACCCUGACCGAGCGACGCCGCGUGAGCGAUGAAGCCCUUCGGGGUGUAAAGCUCUUUUGUUGGGGAAGAAAUGCGGAUGGUCUAAUACGCCAUCCGCUUGACGGUACCCGGCGAAUAAGCUCCGGCUAACUCCGUGCCAGCAGCCGCGGUAAUACGGGGGGAGCAAACGUUGUUCGGAAUCACUGGGCGUAAAGGGCGCGUAGGCGGCCCUGUAAGUGGUGUGUGAAAUCCGAUGGCUCAACCAUCGAACUGCGCCCCAAACUGCAGGGCUUGAGUGCAGCAGAGGAAAGUGGAAUUCCCGGUGUAGCGGUGAGAUGCGUAGAUAUCGGGGGGGGACACCGUUGGCGAAGGCGACUUUCUGGGCUGUUACUGACGCUGAGGCGCGAAAGCCAGGGGAGCAAACAGGAUUAGAUACCCUGUUAGUCCUGGCCGUAAACGGUGGACACUAGGUGUUGGAGGCAUCGACCCCUCCAGUGCCGCAGCUAACGCAUUAAGU